AGUCGAGCGAGGUCCAUCCAGUGGUAACACUGGUGAAGACCUAGCGGCGAACGGGUGAGUAACACGUGAGAAACCUGCCCCGAAGACUGGGAUAACUCUCCGAAAGGAGAGCUAAUACCAGAUGCCCUCACCGGGCCGCAUGACUUGGUGAGGAAAUGGAUUCCGCUUCGGGAGGGUCUCGCGGCCUAUCAGCUUGUUGGUGAGGUAACGGCUCACCAAGGCUUCGACGGGUAGCUGGUCUGAGAGGAUGAUCAGCCACACUGGGACUGAGACACGGCCCAGACUCCUACGGGAGGCAGCAGUGGGGAAUCUUGCGCAAUGGGCGAAAGCCUGACGCAGCAACGCCGCGUGGGGAUGAAGGCUCUCGGGUUGUAAACCCCUUUCAGCAGGGAAGAUUAUGACGGUACCUGCAGAAGAAGCCCCGGCCAACUACGUGCCAGCAGCCGCGGUAAUACGUAGGGGGCAAGCGUUGUCCGGAUUUAUUGGGCGUAAAGAGCUUGUAGGCGGCUUGGUAAGUCGAGUGUGAAAACUCCAGGCUCAACCUGGAGACGCCAUUCGAUACUGCCAUGGCUAGAGUCCGGUAGAGGAGCACGGAAUUCCUGGUGUAGCGGUGAAAUGCGCAGAUAUCAGGAGGAACACCAGCAGCGAAGGCGGUGCUCUGGGCCGGUACUGACGCUGAGAAGCGAAAGCGUGGGGAGCGAACAGGAUUAGAUACCCUGGUAGUCCACGCCGUAAACGUUGGGCACUAGGUGUGGGUCCCUAUCGACGGGAUCUGUGCCGUAGCUAACGCAUUAAGUGCCCCGCCUGG
rnacentral:rRNA from 1 species